GCCGCCUUUUCCAGAGCCACCAAGAGCCCUUACACCAUGGCAUCCCUACCUUCCUUCUUGGCAAGGCAUUAUAGGGGAGAAAGGAGUGGCUUUGGUCCCCUGUAGGCUGGGUUCAAAUCCCAGCUCAACCACAUAAAUCUCAUUGCCUUAGCUCCCAGAAGCAGAGGAGAUGCCUCCAAGACCAGUAGGAAGCAAGGCCCAGGCAAGACCCAGGUGUAGCUCCAGAAUGUGGUGGAGAGACAGGAGCAUGCAGAGAGGUCAGAGGACCACACCCGGAUCCAGAGAGCCUCCAUCUGACAGGGAAGGAUGAUUUGGCUUCCCUCCGAGUCUCAGGGUGGAGGGGAAUGGGGUCUCUUCCUUGAGCAUCUCCCAGUUUGGUGGAGGCAGAUGGGUGGGAUGAAGAACAAGGAGAAGAGAACAGCUCCCAGGAAGCUCCUAGUCACGUGGGGACAGUCCUGUCAAGAACUGUGGAGGGUCUGAAGUUUUACUCUUCUUGCACGCUAGCAAGAUAACUUGCCGGAGUGUCACGGGUGUGCCAUAAACCACGAGACUCCUGGGUCAGAGACAGAGGACUUGACUCCCCGUGGCACAGCAGCCUCAGCACGUGUGUCAGCACCCCUUGCCUAUUGUCCCAUGGUGUGACCGUGAUGGCUGUCAGCGAACACCUGUGUGUGCGCUGGCUUGCAUUACAAGAGGAACU